rnacentral:rRNA from 1 species
GCUGAGAAGGAAACGGAUAGAGUUGACGAAACGCGAUGGCAUUCAAUCGUUGCAACGUUGCGGCGCUUGUUGUUCGUCGGCCUCGAUGAGGUAGCGAACGCGAGUUGUUCAAACGCUGUAUGCGCUUAUGCACGGUGUAUUUGCCAUCGGUAUGCGCCGAGAAAAUCGUUGUGACGUGCUAACGCAUAGCCGUAGAGGACCACGCUCGUUGCGGGCGUGGAACCCUUGGCUAGCUGAAGCACGUUCGCUUAAUGAUUGCUAGCUUUUGCAAUGCAUUCACUCCGCGAGUUUUACACGCACAUCGCGGUUCGUUCGAUUGAUGUGGCUACUGAGCGGUCGCGUGCGACUUGCUUGUAGUUGGACGUUGGUUGAAUCUCGAAUCGAUCGUGUGUUGAGCGAAUGCGUCUCGGUGUGAAAGUCGACCACCUAUCCGACCCGUCUUGAAACACGGACCAAGGAGUCUAGCAUAUGCGCAAGUCAUUGGGUGGCAAACCUAAAGGCGUAAUGAAAGUAAAGAUCGCUUUAGUGCGGUUGAUAUGGGAUCCGUGUUUGGUCGCGUGAACUUGUUUACGCACCGGAUGCGGCGCACCAUAGCCCCGUCGCCGUUGCUUGCAAUAGGGCGGAGGUAGAGCGCAUACGCUGGGACCCGAAAGAUGGUGAACUAUGCCUGAGCAGGAUGAAGCCAGAGGAAACUCUGGUGGAGGUCCGAAGCGGUUCUGACGUGCAAAUCGAUC